rnacentral:rRNA from 1 species
GACAGAGGGGGCAAGCGUUGCUCGGAUUUAUUGGGCGUAAAGGGUGCGUAGGCGGCGGAGUAAGUUGGGUGUGAAAUCCCGGGGCUCAACCUCGGAAUUGCAUUCAAUACUGCUUCGCUCGAGUACUGGAGAGGAGACUGGAAUUUACGGUGUAGCAGUGAAAUGCGUAGAUAUCGUAAGGAAGGCCGGUGGCGAAAGCGAGUCUCUGGACAGUUACUGACGCUGAGGCACGAAGGCCAGGGGAGCAAACGGG